UCUGUGUAGCAGCUUGGCUCUACACAGCUGCCUGCAGGCACGGUGGUAGCUGUGCUGGGCUGCAAGGCUGCCUACAUACAGGGUUAAAUUUACAUAAUUUACAAGUAACCAGCUGUUUCUUCUAACUGUUGGCUCUGCACAUUCCCGUCCGGGCUCUGACUGAGAGUCAAGCUAUGUGCUUUCCAUCUAACGCACCAUCACUAAUGAGUCGGUUAAUAAGAUAGAAGAAGCAUCCUGACUGGUUAAUAACUCAGACUGGUUAAUAAUUAAAUCAAGCAGUGUUUUAGUAUCCUGUGCUGCAAAGAGCCUCAGGAGACACAUUCAAGAGCCAUUGGCGGCUCCCGAGCCUCAGUCCGAGUCUCACUGCUCUAGUCUGAUCUGCUGCAUGACACAGGCCAGAGAAUCUCACCUAGAAAUUUCUCCAUCAAGCCCAUAACUUCUGUUUGAGCUACAGAAAGACACCCAGUCGCGAUGUAAAGGCUGCAAGCGAUAGAGAAUCCAUCGAAGUAUGAGAAUGAAACCAACUGUGUACAGCAGGCUAACGCCCUGGACAUUAGUGCAAUAAUGUUAUUACUGUAAGACAAUAUCAGAUAAAGGCUAAUUGGAGGGGAA